GACGAACGCUGGCGGCGUGCUUAACACAUGCAAGUCGAGCGGUAAGGCUCCCUCGGGAGUACACGAGCGGCGAACGGGUGAGUAACACGUGAGUAAUCUGCCCUUCACUUCGGGAUAACCACCGGAAACGGUGGCUAAUACCGAAUACGACCAGUCUUCGCAUGAGGUGCUGGUGGAAAGUCUUUUCGGUGAAGGAUGUGCUCGCGGCCUAUCAGCUUGUUGGUGGGGUAAUGGCCUACCAAGGCUUCGACGGGUAGCCGGCCUGAGAGGGUGACCGGCCACACUGGGACUGAGACACGGCCCAGACUCCUACGGGAGGCAGCAGUGGGGAAUAUUGGACAAUGGGCGAAAGCCUGAUCCAGCAACGCCGCGUGAGGGAUGACGGCCUUCGGGUUGUAAACCUCUUUCAGUACCGACGAAGCGCCCUGUCGGGUGGUGACGGUAGGUACAGAAGAAGGACCGGCCAACUACGUG
rnacentral:rRNA from 1 species